rnacentral:rRNA from 1 species
AGACCGAUAGCGAACAAGUACCGUGAGGGAAAGAUGAAAAGAACUUUGAAAAGAGAGUUAAACAGUAUGUGAAAUUGUUAAAAGGGAACCGUUUGGAGCCAGACUGGUUUGACUGUAAUCAACCUAGAAUUCGUUCUGGGUGCACUUGCAGUCUAUACCUGCCAACAACAGUUUGAUUUGGAGGAAAAAAUUAGUAGGAAUGUAGCCUCUCGAGGUGUUAUAGCCUACUAUCAUACUCUGGAUUGGACUGAGGAACGCAGCGAAUGCCAUUAGGCGAGAUUGCUGGGUGCUUUCGCUAAUAAAUGUUAGAAUUUCUGCUUCGGGUGGUGCUAAUGUUUAAAGGAGGAACNCAUCUAGUAUAUUUUUUAUUCGCUUAGGUUGUUGGCUUAAUGACUCUAAAUGACCCGUCUUGAAACACGGACCAAG